GCCUGGUUGGCUCAGUUGGUGGAGCAUGUGACUCUUAAUCUUGGGGUCAUGGGUUCAAACCCCACUGUGGGUG
rnacentral:tRNA from 1 species